GCCGUUAGCUUAGUUGGUAGAGCGCUUCCAUGGCAUGGAAGAGGUCAGCGGUUCGAA
rnacentral:tRNA from 1 species